rnacentral:rRNA from 1 species
AGUGGACGCUGGCGGUAGGCCUAACACAUGCAAGUCGAACGGCAGCACAGUAAGAGCUUGCUCUUACGGGUGGCGAGUGGCGGACGGGUGAGGAAUACAUCGGAAUCUACUUUUUCGUGGGGGAUAACGUAGGGAAACUUACGCUAAUACCGCAUACGACCUACGGGUGAAAGCAGGGGAUCUUCGGACCUUGCGCGAUUGAAUGAGCCGAUGUCGGAUUAGCUAGUUGGCGGGGUAAAGGCCCACCAAGGCGACGAUCCGUAGCUGGUCUGAGAGGAUGAUCAGCCACACUGGAACUGAGACACGGUCCAGACUCCUACGGGAGGCAGCAGUGGGGAAUAUUGGACAAUGGGCGCAAGCCUGAUCCAGCCAUACCGCGUGGGUGAAGAAGGCCUUCGGGUUGUAAAGCCCUUUUGUUGGGAAAGAAAAGCAGCAGGUUAAUACCCCGCUGUUCUGACGGUACCCAAAGAAUAAGCACCGGCUACUUCGUG